UACGUAGGUGGCGAGCGUUGUCCGGAUUUACUGGGGUAAAGGGAGCGUAGGCGGACUUUUAAGUGAGAUGUGAAAUACCCGGGCUCAACUUGGGUGCUGCAUUUCAAACUGGAAGUCUAGAGUGCAGGAGAGGAGAAUGGAAUUCCUAGUGUAGCGGUGAAAUGCGUAGAGAUAGGAAGAACACCAGUGGCGAAGGCGAUUCUCUGGACUGUAACUGACGCUGAGGCUCGAAAGCGUGGGAGCAAACAGGAUUAGAUACCCGGGUAGU
rnacentral:rRNA from 1 species